rnacentral:rRNA from 1 species
CAGUAGCGUAUACUAAAGUUGUUGCAGUUAAAAAGCUCGUAGUUGGAUUUCUGGCGUGACGUGUCUGACCCGCCACAAUUAUGUGUGUGAGUGUCGGUAUGCGUCUGCCAUCCUUCUGAAGAACGUGUCUACCUUUAAUAGAGGCCGGAUGCGCGAUUCAGAUCUUUUACUUUGAAGAAAUUAGAGUGUUCAAAGCAGGCUUGCGCUGUGAAUACAUUAGCAUGGAAUAAUAAUUUAGGACUACGGUUCUAUUUUGUUGGUUUCUAGAACUGAAGUAAUGAUUGAUAGGGAUAGUUGGGGGUGCUAGUAUUCAGCGGCCAGAGGUGAAAUUCUCGGAUUCGCUGAAGACUAACUUAUGCGAAAGCAUUCACCAAGGAUGUCUUCUUUAA